ensembl:snRNA U6 U6 spliceosomal RNA
GUACUUGCUUCAGUGGCACAUAUACUAAAAUCGGAAUGAUACGGAGAAGAUUAGUAUGGCCCCUGUGCAAGGAUGACACAAAUUCGUGAAGCGUUCCAUAAUAAA